GUAGGGAGCAAGCGUUGUUCGGAAUUACUGGGUGUAAAGGGCGUGCAGGCGGCCGCCCAAGUUGGAUGUGGGAAUCUUCCAGCUCAACUGGAAAAUUGCAUUCAAAACUGGGUGGCUUGAGUACAGGAGAGGAGAACGGAAUUUCCAGUGUAGCGGUGAAAUGCGUAGAUACUGGAAGGAACACCGGUGGCGAAGGCGGUUCUCUGGCCUGAUACUGACGCUGAGACGCGAAAGCUAGGGUAGCGAACGGGAUUAGAUACCCCGGUAGUCCUAGCCCUAAACGAUGGACACUAGGUGUAGGAGGUAUCGACCCCUCCUGUGCCGCAGCUAACGCAUUAAGUGUCCCACCUGGGGAGUACGGCCGCAAAGGCUGA
rnacentral:rRNA from 1 species